UAGGGAAUCUUCCACAAUGGACGCAAGUCUGAUGGAGCAACGCCGCGUGAGUGAAGAAGGUUUUCGGACCGUAAAGCUCUGUUGUUGGUGAAGAAGGAUAGAGGUAGUAACUGGCCUUUAUUUGACGGUAAUCAACCAGAAAGUCACGGCUAACUACGUGCCAGCAGCCGCGGUAAUACGUAGGUGGCAAGCGUUGUCCGGAUUUAUUGGGCGUAAAGCGAGCGCAGGCGGAAGAAUAAGUCUGAUGUGAAAGCCCUCGGCUUAACCGAGGAAUUGCAUCGGAAACUGUUUUCUUGAGUGCAGAAGAGGAGAGUAGAACUCCAUGUGUAGCGGUGGAAUGCGUAGAUAUAUGGAAGAAUACCAGUGGCGAAGGCGGCUCUCUGGUCUGCAACUGACGCUGAGGCUCGAAAGCAUGGGUAGCGAACAGGAUUAGAUACCCUGGUAGUCCAUGCCGUAAACGAUGAGUGCUAAGUGUUGGGAGGCUUCCGCCUCUCAGUGCUGCGGCUAACGCAUUAAGCACUCCGCCUGGGGGAGUACGACCGCAAGGUUGAAAC
rnacentral:rRNA from 1 species